GAUGAACGCUGGCGGCGUGCCUAAUACAUGCAAGUCGAGCGAACGGACGAGAAGCUUGCUUUUCUGAUGUUAGCGGCGGACGGGUGAGUAACACGUGGAUAACCUACCUAUAAGACUGGGAUAACUUCGGGAAACCGGAGCUAAUACCGGAUAAUAUUUUGAACCGCAUGGUUCAAAAGUGAAAGACGGUCUUGCUGUCACUUAUAGAUGGAUCCGCGCUGCAUUAGCUAGUUGGUAAGGUAACGGCUUACCAAGGCAACGAUGCAUAGCCGACCUGAGAGGGGGAUCGGCCACACGGGAACUGAGACACGGUCCAGACUCCUACGGGAGGGAGCAGUAGGGAAUCUUCCGCAAAGGGCGAAAGCCUGACGGAGCAACGCCGCGUGAGUGAUGAAGGUCUUCGGAUCGUAAAACUCUGUUAUUAGGGAAGAACAUAUGUGUAAGUAACUGUGCACAUCUUGACGGUACCUAAUCAGAAAGCCACGGCUAACUACGUG
rnacentral:rRNA from 1 species